GGGCUCUACAAAAGAAGUUGUGGCAAGACUGGACAAACUGAUAACACGUCUAUUACAGAAUCUCCUGGUUCAGCCUUGCUGCUCCAGUCUGUCAAGAGCUUUGUAUAUGCUGACUGUCAUACAGUGUACUAACUCUCCCUCCCAGCUCUGUGUCACCUGCAGAUUUGAUGUCACUGGAAGUGACUCAUCAAUUAUCUGCCAGUCAUUUUAGCACCCAAGGAUGUAGUUAUUAUGGACCAGGUGACUUGAAUUCAUCAUGGACAACUAGGUGGUUUGUUAAGCUCUCCUUACUUGGGUAAGCCAUGGUACUUAGCCUUUCAGCCAUUUUUGUUCUGCUGUUUACUGAGCAACGGUCAUUCUUCUUGGCGGAGAAAACCAACAGAAGGAAAAGAAGAAUCAAGCUGAUCAUUUUUCUCUAUUGUCAGUUCCAAGCAAAGGUACUAUAUCUUCUUUUGUAAGGGUGGAAUUGAAACCACUUCAUCCCAACUUAGCCUUAAUGAGAACCCAUAUCAAUCCAUCAUUCACAGGCUUCAGACUAAGUGUAAAAAAUCUUUGAAAGCCAUUUGAUGAAAUAAAAUGACUCCAGAGGGAAGUUUGUUCCAAUUGGC